rnacentral:misc_RNA from 1 species
CAGCCGCACAUCCACAUACGUACGCCGGAACAUACGACGUCCCCCCCCCGUAUCCCCCAUCCGCUCUUUUCUUCCUUCGGCAGGCCCCGCCUGUCACUGGGGUCGUUCAUUGGGGUAGCUUUACCUAGCACAACACGAAUAUGCAAGUCGCAACCAUGCAACCUGUCAUGGAGACGCUUGGCGCCCUGUACGCCAACAUGGAGAACGUGUCCCCAGCCACGCGCAAGCUCGUGGAGCGCUACAUCAGCGGCGAUGGCGUUAUCGUUGGCUGGGGCUUCUGCCGCAAUGGCGAGCUCGGCACAAACUUCCGCUACAACCUGGUGACGCCGAUGAUGAUUGGCGGCCAUGACAAGCCGAUCCGCAUGGCCUGCGGCGGUCUCUCGUCUGUUUGGCUCGGCGUGCGCAACAUCUUGAUGGCCAUGGGCGGCGGCAUGUGGGGUGAGCUCGGCGUUGGAAACCCGCGCUUCUGCCCGCGUGUGAUCGCGAACGAGGCGAACAUGCCCAUCUGCCCUGGACAGGUAGACGUCAUUCCCUUCACGCAGGACGAUGUAGUCGUGGAUGUCGCGGCUGGAUCUGCCUUCUAUGCGUGCGUGUCCCUGAAGGGUAAUGUCUUCACAUGGGGCGCAAACAACUGCGGGCAGUGCCACCAGGAUCUUAACAACACGUGCUGCGGCUAUGGGCAGCUGCGCGUUGUGCCAGGCGAGAGCGUAGUGGAAGUGGCGUGCUCCAACUACAGUGUGUUGGCGCGGACCAUAUCGGGCGCGGUCUACGGUUGGGGUGAGGUGACGCUGCUCGGCGACCGCGACACCGUGGCGGAGAAGUUGGCUGCCGCGGGUUUAGAGUUGGUGCAAUCUCCGCAGUCAGAGUCCCGAGUAGUGGCGCGCGUGCCGGUGCGCAUCGACAGCCUCGAUGGCAAGAACAUCAAGCUCCUCUCUAGCGGCCCCUGGCACUACGCGGCAGUGUCGGCGGACGGCUCUGUCUACACGUGGGGCAUAGGCAACAGCGGCCGUCUUGGCCACGGUGACCAGGAUGACCACCUGUCGCCGGAGGUGGUGACGGCCAUGAAGGGUAAGUGUGUUGUCGACGUCGCCUGCGGCUCCUUCCACACCGUCUUCAUUGCUGACGACGGCAACGCCUACGCCUGCGGCGAUAACCAGGGCGGCCAGUGCGGCGUAGUGGGCGAGUACUCGGUGCCGGUGCCGACAAAGAUGAACAUCACGGGUGGGCGCAAGGUGAUUCACGCGAGCUGCGGCCGCAUGCACACGACGCUCCUGCUGAACAACGGCGACGUCGUCGUCUACGGAACAGGGUUGGGCCUGGGUGUCGGUAUUGGCUACGGCAUGCGCAUGGUGCGCUGCCAGGCGAUCUUGGAGAACUACACCACCCUGUGGACAAAGAGCGGGCCAACGCACGGGCUAUCUCUGACGAUCCCGAAGAACACAACGAUGCUUGUCCUCGGUGUUCCCCACCGCGGCGUACCCGUCUCGGUCACCUCCGUUGGGCUCAAGGAGGGCAUCUUGUCCUGCGGCGUUGGCGCGGGCUUUACUCUGAUGAUUAGUCGGCGCGGCAGCUGCUACUCCUUCGGCGUAGGCGGGUGGGGGCAGCUCGGCUUUGACACGGCGCAGGCGAAGCACUUUACGCAGGACCGUGUUCCCGUGUACCCGCAGGCGACGCGCAUCGGCUUCUUUUCCCGCACCAUCAUCACGUCCGUCGCGGCCGGCUUCUCUUUUUCAAUGGCCAUCACUGAGGGGGAGCGGGUCUUCGCUUGGGGCAACAACAGCUUUGCCCAGUGCGGCCUCGGCGUUGACCCGAAGAAGUACCAGCGCAUCUCGCAACCUCGCGAGAUUACUUGGCUUGCCGACAAGGAGAUCAUCCAGGUGUCAUGUGGCAGCUACUUCGCACUAGCUCUCAGCGCGUCCGGCCAGGUGUACAGCUGGGGCACGAUCGAAUGCUGUGGCGUAGGACUGGAGCCGGAUCCGAAGGUCGUUCCGGCCCACAUGAUAAUGCGCAACAUCUCUGGCGAAACCCGUGGUGUCGUGCUGUCGCCGCUGCUCAUCGACAGUCUCAAGGGUAUCAUUCAAGUCGCCGCCGCCGGCUGGCACGGGAUGGCGCUCAACGCCAUUGGCGAGAUCUACGCCUGGGGCAUCGGGACAGGUGGGCGCCUGGGCACGGGUGACUGCGAGCACUACUACACCCCGAUCCGCAUCACACACGGCGCCUUCUUCACCCGCAUCGGCUGCGGCUGCUACACAAGUUACGGCAUCGACGACAACGCGAGGCUGUAUGUGUGGGGCGUCAACGAUAAGAACCAGCUUGACACGUUGGGUAGCAAGGUGGUGACGCCGACGCCGGUGCUGGAGAAUGUGCGGGAAGCGUGCCUCGGCAAGUACUUCUCGCUGGCGCUUACCUACAAUAACACGUUCCAUUUCUCCGGGGUGAUGGAGUUCGACUCCACCUCAUACGCAAGUAGGUCCUUCAAUGAUGUCGACAGCUUGCCGGAGAAGCUGAAGCCAGAGAACAUACAAGCAGAGCACUUACGUGGGCUGAAGCUGUUUGGCGGUCUGGAGCAUGUCAUUGCGCUGCUCGAGAAGGACCCGAUUCCAGAGGCCGUCGUCACGGAGGCAAUAGUGGGGAUGCGGGAGCAGCCCGAACGACUGGUGCGCAAAUACGCCGCGCAGGUGCGGUGAUGGUGUGAAAACAUGGACACGCCCCACCCAACGAAGAGUCUCACAAGCAGGUAAGCGGUGUGGAGAAGAGAAGAAAGCCGAUCGAGAGUGGGCCGCCGUCGCCGCCGCCGCCGCCGCCUCCGCCUGUGCGCACGUGUGUGUGCAUCACCACGCCAUGCGAAGGGGCGUAGAGCAGUCCAGCAACAAUGUCGUCGUCUUUUUCAUUUGCCGUCUUCCUUGCACUCGUUUGUGCGCGUCUUUCCAGGCCCUCUUUCCCUUCCCCUCCUCCAUUCUCACAUCUCCCCCGCCAUCCCUGUGUCCCUGCCCCUGCCUCUUGUUCCUACACGUGUGCAUGCGCAUACGCUGCUGAUCUGUUCUUGUAUUUGCUCACCAUCAUUAUGUUUGCUUUGCGUUGGUCUUGCUCCCCCUCCCUCCCCACAUAUCACGUGCAUCCUCAUCUUUUCCGCCUUUUUUUCUACGUCUCUGCAUCUCUCGUGUUCUCUGUAUGUGUUGCCCUCCUCCCUCUUCUCUCUUCUCUCUUUUCUCGCCGGACGUGGCGCAGGCCCCAUGCAUACUCGCGCUCCCCCUUUCGUCGCUCCGUCUGUGGGUGCGUCGGCCAUUCUAUGUGUUUUGCACCCCCCCACACAUUCGUCCUUCCUUUUCUUGUUCUCCAGUGUGCCUUAGUGUUUUUGCGUAUUUCCUUCCUUGUGUGUUCGGUGGUGGUGUCCAUCAUGGCAAGAGGGGGUAAGUGGACGCACACACACACACACACACACAUCAGAGUGUUGUGCCAGCAGGGUCCAGUGCACCCUCCCCCCCCUCUGCGCGGGAGGGAGCCGAUCAGACUCCACCCCUCCCUCCUCUAUCCCCCUGCCAAAAAUGCCGAACCGCUUCUGGUGGCGGCAGACUCAAGCGCCCACGACGUAGCGAAGCUAGAGCGAUGCAUGGCUGCUGAUGUCUGUGGACAGGUCCUGGGCGGCGCUGCGUCGGGGCGACCUGCGACCGUGAGCUCGGUUGUGCCAUCCAUGUGACGGGCGGCGUGCCAGCGUGACUCGAGCGCAUCACAGCCGACCCUCACACUGCCCACUGGCAUGUGUGCGUGUGUGUGUGGGUGUGGGUGUGUGGGGCCUGCACCACCGCGAGGGGGACGCACCAGUCGCCAACCGGCACAAUGCGGGCGACUGCGAGGCGGGUGUGGGUAGCGUUUGGUGCGCGGGCCCUGCUCUCAGAUGAUGGUGUCGGCGCGUUGCCGUGCUGGCUUGUGUGCGCGGCUGCUUCGCACGACGGGAGGUGGGCCUGUGACGGGCCGGGGGCAGAGCGGAGCGGAGCGCAUGCUGCACGGCAGAGAAAUGGACACGGUGACGAGCGUAGAAAGAAGCCUUCUCGCUUAUUGUGCGAAGUCCUUGUUCUGCGCUAACUCCUCUAGGCUCGCGUUUCUCUUGAUUUGCUUGUGCCCGUCCUCCCGUGCCCCUUCGUCGUUUGUGUGCCCCUCUCUAGUGUGUGUUGGCGUGCAGCGUGGCGGGCAAAAAAAAAAACGUGCUGGCCAUCGUCACACCAACCCAAUGCACGACUCGUAAGGGGCUGUGCCAGCGAAGGGCACGGCACGGCGUGAUGAGGACAAACGAAAAGGCAUUUCACAGGAAAGAGAGAGAACAAGCCGUGCUGCAGGCGCAGAUGCGAGCCAUCUCUAUCCCUCUGUCUCCCCCUCCCGGACGUCGCACGCGCACAGGCGCAGAAGGAUCAGACAGGUGUGCACCCACACCCAGCCACCCACACAUUCGACGUGUCCCGCUCUCGCUACGUCGGACCCCCCCUCCACCUCCAUUUGUUCCUCUUUUACUUGGUUCUCAUGAGUAACAUGUGGCGGAUGAUGUGUAGGGGACAUAUGCCCCUCUCCUUCUCGUGCAUAUUGUUUUUUUUUUCGUCUGCUGUCGUUGGUGUGUCUCCCCUGUGGCUGUGAGCAAUUGGAUCUCUUUCCCUCUCUCUCCAUGUGUGUGUUGCUGCCGUGUCCACGCUGUUGGUGGUUUGGUAUCGAUGUACGUUUGGGCACACUUCCCUGUACCUCCCUGCACCUCUGCGCACCUCCCUCCACCUUUUUCUUCCUCCGUUAC